GCGUGGCGUGGAUGCGUGAAGGCGAGAGUGGAACAGCGUCAGAAUGGGGAACGUGCAGCCUGGAAUUGUCAUCCACUUGCAAGAGGAGGGAUCGUUGUCUGUUCAUCUGCGUCGACUGGGAACGCGCAUGCUCGUCGUAUGGCGCCUGUUACGGUAAUGGUCUCCUUUUAUCAGUUGUUCUAGAUGAUGUCGUUUGAUUUUGGACCGAACAUCGUCGUGGCGUGGACCGGAUAUGGGCAGUGCAUGCCGUUCUUUUCUUCGUACGGAGAGUAGUGAGUGGUACCGCACUGUUGACAAGAACAUAGAGUAGAGCCAUCCAUUGCCCUUCAGCAAGCAGGAGAGGCAUAGUUUAUAAAUUUAUAAUAGGUAGUAUAUUGCUUUUCAUCAUGCUAAUUCCAUAUAGAGUAUGUCUCAUCUCCGUAUUGAGAAAUACUUCCUCCGUCUGAUUUUAUAAGUCCUGCUCGCAUUUUGAGUUAAACUGUCAAAGUUUGAAACUUGACUAACAAAAUAUAUUUUAUAUGUAACAAAAAUUAUAUUAUUGAAACUUUUACAAAUAUGCAUCUACUAAUAUAACUUUCAUGGCAUAUAACUUAUAUUCUGUUGAUUAAAUUGAAAAUUAAAAUUAGUACAAAUUAGGAAGUAACCAAUAAACCAGAACCGAUAUGCUAGUAUAGAUUAAAGUAAUUAUGUGUUUACUAUUUGCGUGUACUCUGCAAUAUUUGGUUAACUUUACAAGAUUUUGAUAUGAUAGUUUUCUGUAAAAACAAAAACAAAACUUGAUUUGGUGUUCAUAGAAUUUAGGGAAUUUCACAUAUGAGGUGUUUUCUCGAUUCCCAUAAAGACUUUCCCUAAAAUUUAUUUUUGGUGAUGGCACGGCUGGCGAGAGGAGGGGGCGGGUGGUCGACGGUGGCCAACGAUGGUGGUGUCAAAUGAAAUGAUUCCCGUAUAUAUUUGUGGACGUGUCCGAGCGUCCGAAUUCCCGCAAACCUAUGCCAAAUCCGAGGGAGGAUUGCACUCGUCCGGACUUGUGCACGUACUCGUCACCUCGCUUGGCCCCAUCCAAAGUCAUCGUCGUGGGUUUCGUACUAGAACGGUCUUCAUGCCGGCCUGACGCUCGAGAGCAAACGCAACUCGACGGCCUUGAUGCCAGUCAGAGCGAUGUGAGCAGGCUUCGAAUCCCUGCAUACUUGCGCUUUCCCGUGCCCUUGCCCCUGGCACUAGCACUAACACUCUCCUUGACAACUUUGCUGCUAGCUCUAGCGCUAGAAUUGCCGGUAGAUACAUUCACAUUAACAUUGGAGCUUCUUUGCACAUUAAUUGUAUUUCCAGAGAAGUUGUUGGACCUACUGCUACUUUUAGUUGGCGCCAUUCUCUUUUGGUUAGGUGCCGGCAUUUCCUCUGUGGCCUUCCUCUUGCUCUGCCUAGUGCUGCUCUGCCUUGAAGGCUAUAAGAAACAUGACAAAUGUUAGUUAUAUACAUGGUACUGUAAUCAGGUUUGUUCGUACAUAUUGAAUGGAUAGCUUAUCAUAUCUGGACCUUGACUAGCGCAUGGUGCUUGGCUGCUUGUUGUUGUUUGGCUUGCAGCAGCCUGUUUGGAAGCAGCUGAUGAUGCUUUGCUUCUAGCAGGACCUUGGCCUUGCACAGGAGGUUGCUGGGUUGGUGUAUUUGAACUCCCUGUGCCAUUUCUUGCUUUGCAUGAUGUCUCGUCGAGCAACACUGUAAUGCACUUUCAGAUUAACAAUGAUACUGUCUAAGGACAAAGUGCGCCCCUCGACAUGAGCAAUUUCCUCCCUGCCUCCAACAUAUUCCAAAAUUUGACCGUCACGCACAAAUGCACCAUUGAAAUGGAAUCUCACAACCAAGAAAUCCAGAGGAUCCAUUCAAUCUACAAGACAUGAAAAAACAAAAGAACAUAUCAAUUACUAGGGUUUCAGCAAUAGAAACACGCCGGCGGUGGCAGCAGCAACAUCUCGCUCUAGGUAGCAGCUCGCCAGCGGCUAGGGUUAGCAACAACAGCAACAACCUAAGGGGAACGGAGGAAGGAAGGGGGGAGGUAGGGAGAGAGGAAGGGAGGGGAGAGAGGGCGAACCUGCCGUGGUGUUGGGCCACGGCCGGUCUCCGGUCGCCGGCGGUGGAGGUGGUGGCCGCGGGCGGCGGCGCCCCUUGCGACCCAGGUGGCGGCAGGGUGGACAUGGGUGGGGCGAAGAGAGGAGGACCUGCCGGCGGUGUGGCGGCACCGCCAGUCUCCGGUCGCCGACAGUGGAGUUGGUGGCCGCGGGCGGCAGUGUUCCUCACGUCCCAGGCGGUGGGGGUGGCGAGGUGGGCUGGGUCGGGUGUGUGGUGUGGCGGUGAUCGAAAGAGAGGAAGGUGGGGAUAGGGUCCGAUUGGUGCGUGCGUGGCAUAGUGACUAGACUGCCCAGUCAGCUUUGACUGGGUCAAAACCGCUUGACCAGCUCCAAACUGAGUCAAGGGUAGUAAUCUGGACCCCGUGACAAGUUGAAGGUUAAAUAUGAUCUGUUUUAGAAAUCGGGAUUGAAAAUCAAAACACGUGGUUAGGUGAGGGUUGAAAUGUGGACUUUUCUCUAAAGCUGUAUGGUUACAUCCUGUCUUUGGUAGCUACACAGCCUGCAAGCCGUAGCUAGCUGUGAUGCUUUUUGGUCCGCCGAUGCAUGAGAGCAUCGCAUGCAUGAUCGGUGGAGAUACAAAUACUUAAUCAUAUCAGUGCCAUCGACACAAAUAGUAGGCAGAUUUUAUGAGAACGCUUUGUGUCAUAAAAUCGCUGGUAUGCUAUGCCUUAAUUCAACAUUAGGGGUGCAACCCGUGACAAGGCUUUGAUAUCCUAUGAGAGGCGCGACCCAUCACCGUUGAACAAUUUCAUCAAGAAACAACACAGGCGUCGAAGAUACGUUGGUCAGGUAUUAUUGAGAACGAAUUUGUUUCAGCAGUGUGUUCGACCGGUUAGAUUCAAUACAACUUUAUUUCAUGCGAGUUUCAUUCAGGUCGACAGUUACAGGAGAGCCAUCGGUGCACAUUUUUCAUGCUGAAAAGGUGAAAGCUGGUGCAUAUCGUCUGGGACACAACAAAAGAAGGUAAUGCGGUCGUGUAAGUCGCGAAAUACCCACAUGAAGAAACCGUUUUUCAUUUUCCUUUAUUCUGUUAGGUGUGUGAAAACUAUCUAUUUUGCUUUAUAGGAAUCUUAUUUUGGCUAUUCUAUGGUUGUGUCGCUUAAUGUCCCAGGUCCAUGUUUGUUUAUUUUUAGUGAAUGUACCAAGUGCAUGUAUUAUUGCGUCGGCAAAAUGUACUAGGUUCAAGUAUGGUUGUGUUGGCUGAAAGUAUCAGAUCUAAGUAUGAUUGUGUCCGUUGAUUGUAUCAGGUCCAAAUAUGGUUGUGUCUGUUGGAUUUACCAGGUCCAAGUAUGGUUUUAUCCUCUAAAUGUACCUGGUCCAAGUAUAGUUGUAAUGUAUCAAGUCCAAAUAUGACUGUGCUGGGUAAAUGUAUCAAGUCCAAGUAUGAUUGUGUCGGUUAAGUGUAUCAGGUACAAGUAUGGUUGUGCCGGUUAAACGUAGUAAGUUCAAGUAUGGUUGCGUCGGCUAAAUGUAUCCGGUCCAAGUAUGAUUGUGUCCGUUGAAUGUACCAGGUCCAAGUAUGGUUUUAUCCUCUAAAUGUACCUGAUCCAAGUAUAGUUGUGUCCGCUAAAUGUAACAGGUCCAAGUAUGACUGUGCUGGAUAAAUGUACCAAGUCCAAGUAUGGUUGCGUCGGUUAAGUGUAUCAGGUACAAGUAUGGUUGUGCCGGUUAAAUGUAGCAAGUCUAAAUAUGGUUGCGUCGGUUAAAUGUACCCGGGCCAAAUAUGAUUGUGUCCACUGAAUGUACCAGGGACAUCGGAAUUUGCGAUUACCACGAUAACCGUGAAAUUCUGGACGGAAUUUAUUAAUCAAAUUUUGAAUUCAAAUUUUUUGAAAUCGAUAUAGAUAGUUAUUUAACUCCUAAUUACCACCUACCUUGCCCUGGCCUGGUGGCUAUUCGACCGUAGUUGGCUCUUGCUCACUCGAGCCCGUGUUACUCCUACAAAUCGGCGGCUUUUUUCAAGUUUUGCAACCUCAAAAAGUGAAAUCGUGAGAGCCCAGAGUCAAACUGGCGUCUCUGAGCAGAGGGACGGUUCGCUUUACCACCAAGCCACACACAGUUAUGUUGUUAGGCAUGAGAUGGCCUAUAUUUAACUAUGCUGUGAGAGUUUGAAUUCAAAAAAUUUAAAUUAUUCAAGAUUUUUUGCUUGAUAUGAGUGUUUCUCGAGGGGGAUCGGUAAAAGCAGGACUGCGCGGAAGCUUGGAAUUUCGCUCGGUUACCAAAACGCGGGUUCCAAGUACAAGUUUUAGCCAUGUUAUGCCCAGGCGCAUCCACAGGAAUUUGAGGGCCCAAAUUUGCUAUCUGUGGCUUGUAGAUGCUCAUAGCACUUGUCGUGCGAUGGCAUGUGCUGAAUGUAUGAGGUCAAAGUAGUUGUAUCGGGUAAAUGUAUCAGGUCCAAUCAUGAUUGCGUCGGUUGAAUGUAUUAGGUUCAGGUAUGGUUGCGUC
rnacentral:lncRNA from 1 species